GAGUUUGAUCCUGGCUCAGAUUGAACGCUGGCGGCAUGCCUUACACAUGCAAGUCGAACGGCAGCACGGGAGCUUGCUCCUGGUAGCGAGUGGCGAACGGGUGAGUAAUGCAUCGGAACGUAUCCUGGAGUGGGGGAUAACGUAGCGAAAGUUACGCUAAUACCGCAUAUUCUGUGAGCAGGAAAGCGGGGGACCUUCGGGCCUCGCGCUCUUGGAGCGGCCGAUGUCGGAUUAGCUAGUUGGUGAGGUAAAGGCUCACCAAGGCGACGAUCCGUAGCAGGUCUGAGAGGAUGAUCUGCCACACUGGAACUGAGACACGGUCCAGACUCCUACGGGAGGCAGCAGUGGGGAAUUUUGGACAAUGGGGGCAACCCUGAUCCAGCCAUGCCGCGUGAGUGAAGAAGGCCU
rnacentral:rRNA from 1 species